UACGUAGGGUGCAAGCGUUUGUCCGGAAUUAUUGGGCGUAAAGAGCUCGUAGGCGGUCUGUCGCGUCUGCUGUGAAAAUCCAGGGCUCAACCCUGGACCUGCAGUGGGUACGGGCAGACUAGAGUGCGGUAGGGGAGAUCGGAAUCCUGGUGUAGCGGUGAAAUGCGCAGAUAUCAGGAGGAACACCGGUGGCGAAGGCGGAUCUCUGGGCCGUAACUGACGCUGAGGAGCGAAAGCAUGGGGAGCGAACAGG
rnacentral:rRNA from 1 species